UACAGAGGUGGCAAGCGUUGUUCGGAAUUACUGGGCGUAAAGGGCGCGUAGGUGGCCUUCUUAGUCAGACGUGAAAUCCCCGGGCUUAACUCGGGAACUGCGUCUGAUACUGGAAGGCUGGAGUUCGGGAGAGGAAUGUGGAAUUCCAGGUGUAGCGGUGAAAUGCGUAGAUAUCUGGAGGAACACCGGUGGCGAAGGCGGCAUCCUGGACCAACACUGACACUGAUGAGCGAAAGCCAGGGGAGCAAACGGG
rnacentral:rRNA from 1 species